ACGGAAGGCAGCAGUGGGGAAUAUUGGGCAAUGGGCGAAAGCCUGACCCAGCAACGCCGCGUGAAGGAAGAAGGUCUUCGGAUUGUAAACUUCUUUUAUGAGGGACGAAGGAAGUGACGGUACCUCAUGAAUAAGCCACGGCUAACUACGUGCCAGCAGCCGCGGUAAUACGUAGGUGGCAAGCGUUAUCCGGAUUUACUGGGUGUAAAGGGCGCGUAGGCGGGGAUGCAAGUCAGAUGUGAAAUCUAUGGGCUUAACUCAUAAACUGCAUUUGAAACUGCUGAUCUUGAGUAUCGGAGAGGCAAUCGGAAUUCCUAGUGUAGCGGUGAAAUGCGUAGAUAUUAGGAGGAACACCAGUGGCGAAGGCGGAUUGCUGGACGACAACUGACGGUGAGGCGCGAAAGCGUGGGGAGCAAACAGGAUUAGAUACCCUGGUA
rnacentral:rRNA from 1 species